rnacentral:rRNA from 1 species
AUUGAACGCUGGCGGCAUGCCUUACACAUGCAAGUCGAACGAACUCUUCGGAGUUAGUGGCGGACGGGUGAGUAACACGUGGGAACGUGCCUUUAGGUUCGGAAUAACUCAGGGAAACUUGUGCUAAUACCGAAUGUGCCCUUCGGGGGAAAGAUUUAUCGCCUUUAGAGCGGCCCGCGUCUGAUUAGCUAGUUGGUGAGGUAAAGGCUCACCAAGGCGACGAUCAGUAGCUGGUCUGAGAGGAUGAUCAGCCACAUUGGGACUGAGACACGGCCCAAACUCCUACGGGAGGCAGCAGUGGGGAAUCUUGCGCAAUGGGCGAAAGCCUGACGCAGCCAUGCCGCGUGAAUGAUGAAGGUCUUAGGAUUGUAAAAUUCUUUCACCGGGGACGAUAAUGACGGUACCCGGAGAAGAAGCCCCGGCUAACUUCGUGCCAGCAGCCGCCGCCG